AAUUUAAACAUUUUUUUAGGACAUUUGAAAUUAGCUCAUAAUUGAAAAGGAAAUGAUUAAUUCUAUAUUUGUUUGAAUCUUUCAUCUGUCAGCUUGCUUGUACUUGAGAUAUAUAGAAAUUUAGAAGAAAAAAAAGAGUUUCCUAAUCCAGACCUUGGCUUGUGUUUUCCCACUGAUGUAUAUAAGUGUAAUUAAGAACAGACUACUCUGACAGACUGCUC